rnacentral:ncRNA from 2 species
GUAAGAAACACGGGGAGCCAGGAAUGAUAGGCUGAGAGGAGGGUUGUUUUUACCCUCGACCCGCUGAACCUGAUCCGGGUAAUGCCGGCGUAGGGAUGGCAAACCAACCUGAA